GGCGGCUCCGUGGCACACGGUUUCACAGAAAUGUUGGCAAAAAUAACCUCGCCGUUGCGUUAGACCCGCGUCAAAGCUGCCGCGCUGGCCAGCUGGGAGCCAGCCGGUCCCUUCCCUGCACCCGCUCCUCCUGUGGCAGGGCGCAUCUCCGCCUUCCUGGCGGGGCAGUUUCUUUUCGCAGUGCUUACUAGCGAUCGUGCCAAGCUCAAAGUGGGAGAAAAGGGAGGAAAUUACCAGGCUUCUGGGUUUUUCCCCUUCGGGUAAUACCCCCCGGCCCCCCAAAACCACAGAAGCGGCAACCACGAGGUACUAUCAAGAAAAAGAAAAGUGUCCAGUCGUGGACUUCUUUAUUCGGCCGCCUUUUCAACGGAAAUUUUGGUGAAGUAAAACAUAAGAUGAAGGAAGUACUAACUCGAUGUACCUACUCGAUAUGGUGUUCACAUGGAGCGACUGGAGCCCUGAAUAGAGUUGCAUCUUCUGACUUUCUAGCUGUGCUCUUCAUCCAGCUAAGUGCGAGAAGAACGAACUUUGCAAUGUGAAGAUGACACUAUGCUGAAGGCUAUCAAGAUCCUGUCAUUCCUGCAGAUAUAUGUGUAAACAUCUGCAGCAUAAAACAGCUCCAGAUGGGAAUUUUUACCAAGUUUUAGAAAAUGUGUCAGAGAGGGGGGUUGGAAAGGCAGACUGCUGAUGCUGGAGAAUUGCUUUCCUCAGAAACAUAGUGAUGUGAGCUCGCGACUAAAAUCUUCCCCCCCACACCCCCCGCCUCAUCUUCACCCUUGCUUGCUUGCCUUUUAGGCUGCCAGGACAUUGGUUUUCAAUUCAGUCAUGCUGAACAGGACUGACAGUCACCGUGACAAGAAAAUUUGCUUGGUCAGUACGUACAGCAACUACACUAGGAAGUUUUGGAGAUGUCUUGUCUCUUAACUGUAGAUGAAAAUCCAUGUGUGAAUUCUCAGUAUGGGCUCCUUUUUUGAAAGGCAGCAGAUGUCAAAAACAAUCUGGACAAGCUGUAGAUACUUCUGGAAGAGACACGGAAAAAAGAAAACAUAAGUCUGCCUGUGAUUCUUGCAAUGUAACACUCAGUAUCCCUAGAAAGCACGCUGACUGACACUGAAAGAGUAAAUAAAAUCCCUGAUUUCUGACAAUA